rnacentral:lncRNA from 1 species
AAUAAGAUGCUAGGUCCAGGGAGGGGCAGUGGGGUGGUUGGAGGGGAGAUAAGGCUAAAAAGGGGGAUCUGAAGUCUAGAAUUGUCCUGUGGGUAAAGAAAAGUUCCUGCAGGAGGGACAUGGGGCAGGGGGGCUUCAUCAGGAAGUGCUGAGGGACAGGAAAUCAGACAGAGAUGGCAGCUGGGCAUCCAGAUGUCUGGCCCCAAGGCUCAGACAAGGGCAGCUAGGUGCAGCCACAGCCUCUGCAGCCACCCUGGGGGAGAGACAGCUCCAGAUUCCCGCAAGGAGCAAAGAGAUUUUUGACUUUGUCUUCUUUUAUUGACAUUGAGGAGAAGCUUCUGACUCAGGCGAGCCUCACAAUAAGCUGUUUUUCAACUUCAGUAGACCCGCAGGACCUGCUAAGGUGAGGUGUUCUGGAAGGGUCUCUGCUCCUAGCAGUCACUGGCAGCUUGCCCAAAUUGGAGAAGUUUAACAUCUCUUUUCUCUGAGAAGUAAAAUGUGUUUCUUUGGUGGAUGUGAAACCAACAAACCACUGUGGUGCCUCUCUACAUCUGAAGGAUGAGCCAGCCAAGCCAGGGGAACUGACGACCCCACACACGUCUGCACUGCUGUGGCCGUGUUGAACACGGACUCCUUCUUCAGGGCAGCCUUGGGCCAUCGGAGGGCUGCUGUAUGCAGUGACGGCCACCAAGUGUCCUUGGCCAGGGGAGUGAUUUACAGGGACUGAGAUCCUGACUUGUGACCCAGACACGAAUGCAUCCUUGUUCCAUUUUGUUAUUGCUCAACCGUCAUCUGGCCAUCCCCAAAGCCCACCUCUGUGAGAAAGGCCAGUGCUUGUCCUCGUGACACCCCUGAGACCUCGAUGGAGCAAGUCCCAGGGCCCAUCAUACAUUUUUAAAGAAAAUCUUCUUUUGGUGAGAAGAUCAAAGGGCCAGGCAGAAAUGGAAAAGCACUUUCUGGCAUCAGACUUCCUCUGACUUCUCCGGUUGCCACACCACUGAAAGACUGCCCCACAGUGCGAGGGACGUCCACAUCUGCCUGGCUCUCCGAGGGAUGAACAGCCUUCAGUUCAGCUUCCUGUCACACCCCAAAAUCCACCAGGGCUCUGCAGUCAUAGAGCCCUGGAACCCAGAGGUGGAAACUUAAAGGAAUGAGUGCUCUCUCGCUCCAAAACCACAGAUAUCUGGUCCAUAGAGAACCCACCACACUUGUAUACAUUUUCAUACGUCUGCGCACAUACACAAAUGCACAAACACAUGUUCAGCUGUUGAUAAUCAUCUGAUCUUUUGCUCUUUCGAUGUAAAUAUGGCCAGAUAUCUCUGGCUUUAAUUCUCAUUAAAAUUUUGAAAGUUAUACUUUCUAUACAAUAUACAUCAUGGAUGUCCAAUCUUUUGGCUUCCCUGUGCCAGAUUGAAAGAAGAAGAAUUGUCUUGGGGCCUGGCGUGAUGGCUCAUGCCUAUUAAUUCCAACACUUUGGGAGGCGGAGGUGGGAGGAUCACCUGAGAUCAGGAGUUCACGACUAGCCUGGCCAACAUGGUGAAACCCCCCCAUCUCUACUAAAAAUAUAAAAAUUAGCGAAGCAUGGUGGCACAUGCCUGUAAUCCCAGCUAUGCAGGAGGCUGAGGCAGGGGAAUCACUUGAUCCCAGGAAGCAGAGGUUGCAGUGAGCCAAGAUUGCACCAUUGCAUUCCAGCCUGGGCAACAGAGUGAGACCCAGUCUCAAGAAAAAAAAAAAAGAAUUAUCUUGGGCCACACAUACACACAUAAAAUACACUAACACUAAUGAUAGCUAAUGAGCUAAAAAAAAUUUCAAGAAUAUCAUAAUGUUUUAAGAGUUUAUGAAUUUGUGUUGGGCCACAUUCAAAGUCAUUGUGGGCUGCAUGUGGCCCGAGGGCCGCAGGUUGGACAAGCUUGAUAUACAUAUUAUGUAUAUUAUAUAUUUCUGUGAAAACAGAAUAAAUCCAAGACUGAGGAUCUAAUUCCAAAAUUCAUUUUUGUAGGCAUUCUGAGACUUAACUAUUUUUCUAGUCACAUAAUAAGGAAAGGAUCCUUACAGAAAUACUGAAAGCUCUUGGUUCUGCCUUUGCUGAUGUUUUCUCUUUUCUCUAUUCCCUCUCCCUUCACACUCGUCCUCAUUCUACAGCCUCAAGCUUGUGUCAUUGUUCACAUCUGCUUCCCCAUCUCUGGAGUCUCUGUCAAGGCUCACCCUGGAUUUGAGAAGGUGUGUGAGAAUGGACUGAGAUGACCUGAGCACGGGUGAAAGGUCCGCAUCAAACCCAGAAAGUCAGCCGAGAUCCAGGGGCGGGUUCUCAUCCUACGGCCUCUCUACAUUCGUUUCUGAGACACAAAAGGACUUCACAGUGAAUGUUCAAGCAAAUUAGAGCACAAAAACAAAAGGGUUGUGGGCAAGCAACUGCGAAGACCACAGCUGUGUUUUGGUAAAUUCCCGGGCGAGGAGGAUAUGCCGGGUGAGUGAGGGAGGCCAGAGAGCGACAGAGUUCUUGGGUUAACUGGAAAAUUCAAUUAUCCAGAACCACAGUCCAUCAGCAAUCUGUUUAGUCAAGGUUUUGCUUCACCUUCCUUCUUUGAAUCAAUGCUCUUUGAAACAAUAUCCCCAGGAGUUAUUCGCUAUAGAGUAGAAGCACAGAUUUUGUCUAUUUAGCAAAAUAGGAGACGAAAUGGAAUGCUGCUGGGCUAAUUGCUUUGCAAGGAAGAAGAGAGGCAAUACUUCAGCACUUUAACCAGAUUCCCUACUUUUGCUUUUUCCAUUUGAUCAAUUUACAUGUGUACUGCAAGAAAUUGUGUUAUAAGAAAGCUGAGCCAUUCUGGUGUUCACUAAGGAAUGUAGCUUUGAUUAGUCCUUGUGUUAAAACAAACAUAAAGUGUACGGGCUGCCACAGAAAUACUUAAGUAGAAGGAGCUCUUUGUGGGACAGUAACAUUUCUGUCAGUUCCCAUGUCUGUUACAUUAUUGAUUCCAUCAUUUUCUAGGAGCUCCAAAGAAAUUGUUUUCUGAAAUCCAUGUGGCUUUAGGAUUCUGAGUACAAAUAUGCUUUAUUUUAUAAGAAGUGAAUUAAUUCAUGCAGCUCUCUAAAGCCACUAGUCAGGAGUAGAAACCAUUGCCAGUAAGAACAAAAAUACUAAAGAGAAGCAGAAAUCCUACGCACAUGCCCUUUGUAACUGAUGUAAUUGGUUUUUAAAGUGAUGUAAUUUAAAAAAUACUGGAAUGUUUUGCAAUGACUCAUACCUUAAGCCACAUGGUCGGCAUCCGUGAAUGCUUGGCCACAGGUAUCGUUGACAAAUCCUUUGACCCUGUCAUUCUGAAACCCAUGCUGUCAGAGCCAUAGUUUCCAUCAAGAAAUCUGGCCAACGGGAUCCAUAUUUCCAGAUAGUGUCCACAUCAUCCAUCUAUUCACACUCUCACUCAAAAAAUAUAUCCUGAACUGUUAUUAUGGACAAAGCGCCAAAAAUGGUGGUUUUUAUCUUUUCUUUUUUUUUUUUCUUUCGGAAAUGUGGUAAUUAAGUCAAGUGUCAAAACAAAUGCAACUGCUUGGCAAAAAAAAAAAAAAAAAAUUGGCACUAUUUCCUCUGAAGAAACAGACUCUAUGCAUGGGAAUUGCUGAAAAUGGGGCAAAAAGUCCCCUUGUACACUCUGCAGACUGCCCCCCUCCCCUGCAAUCUAACCCUCUCAUCUCUUGCCUCUGCUCUUGCAGCAGUUUCUAGACUCCCCUCCCAGUGUCCACUCUGCCCUCAUCAUCGUCAUCCAUAGAGCAGUGGCAGGGAUUUUCACGUGGAUCCCCACACCAUUGCCCUGAGCAGCAUGGGGUGUGGGUGCCCCAGGACACUUGACUCUGCUCAGCCCGGCCCCCACCCAUCUCCCGCUGUUCACUCUGUUUGUUCUCCUUGGAAUAAGACAAGAUCAUUUUUGCCUCUGGAACAUUGCACUUGGCUGCUUCCUCUUUCUGGACUCCUUUCUGGGAUAUUUGCAAGGCCUCCGUUCAUCCCACAGAGGGUCUGCCUCUGACCAUCCCAUCUCAAAUAGCUGCUUCCCACCCACUCACAGUGGCUGACUCACACCACCUGGUAUGAUUGUCUUUAUCAAAAUGAUCAGCCAUCGAUUUGUUUUGUACCUGAACAUGUUUGCUGGUUUAUUUCCUCCCUCUUGUUUCUUUUGUUCACCUCUAUAUCCCCUGUGGUUUUGUAUGCUCAUCACGCAGUAGGUGUUCAGUAAACACUUGCUAAGUGUCUUUGUUUUCAAUUGCUGCUGUAACAAAUUACUGCAAGUUCGAUGGCUUAAAAACAACAC